GCUAAACAGACUGCUGCCGUGCUAGCUGGCUAGGUCACUCUGUAAGUAAGUCAUUUUCCCUAUUAAAAUCCCUUGUAUUUUUACCUGGCUCUGUAUUGGUAAUUUCCUGCCAUAUCUGGUGUCAGGAGUGGGAUCUUGGCCCCAUUUGGGACGGCCUGCAGGUCCCACCGGGCCUUUGGCCUAGGCCAGGAAAGCGCCCUCUCUCCACAGGUACUCCCGGCUCCCAGCCACCAGCUGUCCCAGACAAGUGCAUUCUGGCUGCCGCUGAGCCACUUAGAACCGUCUGCCCAGCUGGGAGACUUCCACAGACCUCUUGCAGUUUCUAGCUGCAGGCACAGGACUGGCUCAGACUGUGGCCUACCCGAACCCUGAGGCCUCUGCCCUAGAACUGGGUAGGCCUCAGCUUUCAGCAACAGCUUCCCCUGGCCACUGCUGCAUAAAGUCGUAAAGCCGUGUCACUUUCACUGGUUGCAGCCACAAGGCCAUAUACUUUCUAAGAUAAGCGCAGCCGCUUUUGUGACCUCUCUCCACGGCUACCACCAUCUUGCCUGACCCACCGCUGCCAAACCCCGUGCCAAGUAGCUGAAUGCCUGCACCACCUGCUGGUCAAAGAUACUUACUGCAUCUGCAGUAGAAAUCAGGUACAAAUGAUGGACCUUCAGAGGAUCCAAAGGCCCUGCCAUUGAAGUGGCUUACAGAUGAACUUGUUUAACCUCUGAGAAGCUAGAGGCAUUGGAAAAGUUAGUACAAGAACAGCUAGAUGCUGGACAUAUAGAGGAAUCUACCAGUCCUUGGAAUUCUCCUGUAUUUGUUAUAAAAAAAAGAAGUCAGGAGAAGAAAAACUUUGGAUACCAUUAAAGUUGAUCAAGAUUCACAUUGAAAAGGAAAAACCUCUCGACGAGGACAAAUGACAGGUAUUCUACUAAGGUAUGUCUUAUAAGCUAAAUAGAAACCUCACAAAGGAAAGGGAAGUGUUUUGCUUUUAUCUUCACAGGAAAACUCAUCUCCAGAAGGCCAAGGACACUGCAUGGGUAGAUACGUAAGAAGAGAAGGUAGCUUAACCAUCAAACAAAAAGAACAUGCCAUGCAGUAAAUUUUACAGCUGUCUCUCAGAGAACUCUAUUUCUUUUUCUAGUCCCUAUUCAAUUAAAACAAUGCUGGAUUUACAGGUAGAUUUGGC
rnacentral:lncRNA from 1 species